AAUCCAUUGUGAGGGCAGUCAUGUUCAUACUCUCUAAAAUGCUCCCAGGCUUCAUAGAAAGGUUCAGCUGGUCACUACUGAAAACUUGAGAUCUUGGUUCUCAGCAA
rfam:Eutrema salsugineum unplaced genomic scaffold scaffold_4, whole genome shotgun sequence.